UUUUUUAAUUGAAAAGGUUAUAUCUGUCAUUGCAUUUUCGGUAUGAUCAAGGUAAGUUUCAUCAUAUCCCCAUUUUAUCGCAACUGCCUUCUAAAUCGCGAUCAUAUAAGGAUUUCAACGAAUUUUAAUCUUUACAUUUGUAAGGGUAUUUUUGCUUUGUAUUUUUUGGUUUCAUCAUCGUCUGCAGUUCGGCGAACAUGGUGGCUUGAAGGAUAUAUGGUUGGAAACUGAGAAAUCUGCAGAUGUGGAUUGUUAUGUUGUUCGCCGAGUGGUUUUUCGGUCGUCGUUUCUCGAUGGUGUUCGGCCAUGAAGACUCUCGGCUUAGCCGUCUGUGUGCGUGGAACAAUGGACUACACGAUGGUGGUUUCCCAACUCUCCGUUACAGUAGGGAGAGAGAGAAACAAAGGCCGUAAAUCGAUCGGUUGUUACGUCGAAAAUUCGACGUUGGUUGCCGAAGGAUGUUGCGGCCGUUGGUUGGGGAGAUGGAGAGAGUAUUUCGACUUUUCGAUUCGUGAUAGUGGUAGUCUGAAGAUGAAGGAACAACUACAUGUUGACGGCUCACAGCCUAGUUGUCGGUCGGUGCAGAAACGAGCCGGCGAAGGAAGCACACUUAAGCUCUUGUUUGAUUUUCAGAAAAAAGGAAGGGAGGUGUUCCCGUCGUUUUUCUUUUACAAUAUGUCAAAUUUAUAAUAUAAUAUGCUGAACUUCUGCAUUUAAACAA